rnacentral:rRNA from 1 species
AACGUAGGGGGCCAGCGUUGCUCGGAAUUACUGGGCGUAAAGGGUCCGUAGGCGGUGUGGCAAGUCGGUAGUGAAAUCUCUGGGCUUAACUCAGAGGCUGCUGCCGAAACUGCUGUGCUAGAGUGCGAGAGAGGCGAGUGGAAUUGCGGGUGUAGCGGUGAAAUGCGUAGAUAUCGGGAGGAACACCUGUGGCGAAAGCGGCGCACUGGACCAUAACUGACGCUGAGGCGCGAAAGCUAGGGGAGCAAACAG